rnacentral:rRNA from 1 species
GACGAACGCUGGCGGCGUGCUUAACACAUGCAAGUCGAACGGAAAGGCCCUGCUUUUGUGUGGUGCUCGAGUGGCGAACGGGUGAGUAACACGUGUGUAACCUGCCCCUGUCUUUGGGAUAACUUUAGGAAACUGGGGCUAAUACCGGAUAUGAUCUUCUGCUGCAUGGUGGGCGUUGGAAAGUUUCGGCGGUUGGGGAUGGACUCGCGGCUUAUCAGCUUGUUGGUGGGGUAGUGGCUUACCAAGGCUUUGACGGGUAGCCGGCCUGAGAGGGUGACCGGCCACAUUGGGACUGAGAUACGGCCCAGACUCCUACGAGAGGCAGCAGUGGGGAAUAUUGCACAAUGGGCGGAAGCCUGAUGCAGCAACGCCGCGUGCGGGAUGACGGCCUUCGGGUUGUAAACCGCUUUCGCCUGUGACGAAGCGUGAGUGACGGUAAUGGGUAAAGAAGCACCGGCUAACUACGUG